rnacentral:rRNA from 1 species
AUUGAACGCUGGCGGCAGGCUUAACACAUGCAAGUCGAACGGUAACAGGAGAAAGCUUGCUUUCUUGCUGACGAGUGGCGGACGGGUGAGUAAUGCUUGGGAAUCUGGCUUAUGGAGGGGGAUAACGACGGGAAACUGUCGCUAAUACCGCGUAGAGUCGAGAGACGAAAGUGCGGGACCGCAAGGCCGCAUGCCAUAGGAUGAGCCCAAGUGGGAUUAGGUAGUUGGUGGGGUAAAGGCCUACCAAGCCGACGAUCUCUAGCUGGUCUGAGAGGAUGACCAGCCACACCGGGACUGAGACACGGCCCGGACUCCUACGGGAGGCAGCAGUGGGGAAUAUUGCGCAAUGGGGGCAACCCUGACGCAGCCAUGCCGCGUGAGUGAAGAAGGCCUUCGGGUUGUAAAGUUCUUUCGGUAUUGAGGAAGGUUGUUGUGUUAAUAGCACGACAAAUUGACGUUAAAUACAGAAGAAGCACCGGCUAACUCCGUGCCAGCAGCCGCGGUAAUACGGAGGGUGCGAGCGUUAAUCGGAAUAACUGGGCGUAAAGGGCACGCAGGCGGACUUUUAAGUGAGGUGUGAAAUCCCCGGGCUUAACCUGGGAAUUGCAUUUCAGACUGGGAGUCUAGAGUACUUUAGGGAGGGGUAGAAUUCCACGUGUAGCGGUGAAAUGCGUAGAGAUGUGGAGGAAUACCGAAGGCGAAGGCAGCCCCUUGGGAAUGUACUGACGCUCAUGUGCGAAAGCGUGGGGAGCAAACAGG